rnacentral:rRNA from 1 species
UCCUACGGAGGCAGCAGUGAGGAAUAUUGGACAAUGGGUUAGCGCCUGAUCCAGCCAUCCCGCGUGAAGGACGACGGCCCUAUGGGUUGUAAACUUCUUUUGUACAGGGAUAAACCUACCCUCGUGAGGGUAGCUGAAGGUACUGUACGAAUAAGCACCGGCUAACUCCGUGCCAGCAGCCGCGGUAAUA